GGGUCAGUAGGUUGGUCGUGCCCCCGGUACGUACUGGUCUCACUGAUUCCUCCUUCCUGAAGAACCGUAAUGCCAUUAAUUUGGUGUUGCGGGGAAACAGGACUGUUACUUUGAAUAAAUUAUAGUGUUUAAAGCAAGCUAACGCUUGAAUACAUUAGCAUGGAAUAAUGAAAUAGGACGAUCGAUCCUAUUUUGUUGGUUUCUAGGAUUGACGUA
rnacentral:rRNA from 1 species